rnacentral:rRNA from 1 species
UACGAAGGGGGCUAGCGUUGCUCGGAAUCACUGGGCGGAAAGGGUGCGUAGGCGGGGCUUUAAGUCAGGGGGGAAAUCCUGGAGCUCAACUCCAGAACUGCCUUUGAUACUGAGGAUCUUGAGUUCGGGAGAGGUGAGUGGAACUGCGAGUGUAGAGGUGAAAUUCGUAGAUAUUCGCAAGAACACCAGUGGCGAAGGCGGCUCACUGGCCCGAUACUGACGCUGAGGCACGAAAGCGUGGGGAGCAAACAGG